AAGCUCUUUGAAAGAAAGCUUUUACUUAUAGGAAAGCGUACUGGACAUCGGUAAUACUCGUUUACAUAGCUUAAGGGUAUAAAGUUACCGUAACAUACGUUUACAAAUAAAUGAAUAAACACGCGGGAUCUACAUACUUAUUACUGGACUUAGUAAAACCUCGCGACGAACAGAGGAGUUUAAAACGUGAAACAUAUAGUAACGCUCACCUGGAGGACGAGAUGCACAAUCACAUUCAUAACUCGCGUUUGAUGUUAAUUCGAAGCUUUGGACCGGCGAGCGAGGUCCAAGAGUAUUAAUCGGUGAUCACGCUACUAGUCUGCAGACGUAAACCGUUUUCACUGACAGGAACGUUUGCCGGCGUAAAAAAGGACAGGGACAGGCGGUACGGUGGUUCGCGGCUACAUGACAGCACCUCUACGCGCGAGGAGGACGCUUUCAUUACUGACCGUGUAAUCAGCCGGCGUCGCGUGCGAUGCCAGGGUUCGGGUUCGCUCGGUAAAAGUACAGAGCAGCAGGGAAGCAGAGAACAGCGAACCGCUCGCGUUCGACGCUCGCUUGACCGAGAAGCAACCAAGACAGAGGCUAACAGAGAAAGGGUGCAAGGAAGAGAGAAGACACGAGAAGGAAGGAGGAAGGAACGGGGAAGAGAGAGCGCGCGUCACCCGGUGAGUAGGUCACCGCGGAGGGUACCGUUACAUUUCGGCCCAUUGAUGUGUGUCACGGGGCCCCGCAGUGACGUAGCAAGGGCCCUCCUAGGCGCUGGCGCAACAGACCUCUUCUUGCUCGGUCAAUUAGGAGAAAGAUGGAUAGCAUUGGAUUAUUGGAGCAUCGUUUCGCCCGAUUACUAGUUGGCAAAAUACCAGUUUGCCGCGGCCGCUGGUGAACGCAGAUACUGGUUCCUGCAUCUUCACCUAGCAGUAGAAAAGAAAGCUGCUCGUCGCGUACACAUACGAGCACGCACGGACUUCAGCGAUUUCUGAUUACGUUACGAUUUCUGAUAACGCUAUGAAGUCUCAUUAGCGGUAUUACAUGAACUCGGCAGAAACGCGCGCUAAUAAAAUAACUGUAAUCGUGGAAAACUCAAUAUCGAAAAUCAUAAAUUCUGAAAUAACACAGGUUUACCUUUGAUGUCAUAUCAGUUUUUAUUGAUAUAAUUUCAACUUAUAAUUUAAAGUAUUUAUUGUUAAAUAAUCGUACGAAUCAUUUUUUAUUAAACAGUAUCAAGUAGAGAUAUUAAAGUAAGAAUGUUACGUAUACUAGUUCGCAAAUUUAUUGUUAUGUAUAAAUCUCUCCGAUGAUAAUUGUAUUAUUUACGUAAUUACAUAAAACUUCUUUAAAUAAAUAAGUAAAAAAUAUAUUUGUCAAUUACAAAUCACCCCCAUUCUUGCUUUAAGUGCUAAUGUUUAAAACAGCACAAAAAUGUUAUGUCUAAAAUUUGUGAA
rnacentral:misc_RNA from 1 species